UUGACCUCGGAUCAGGUAUUGGCCCCUUCCU
rnacentral:rRNA from 1 species